GACGAACGCUGGCGGCGUGCCUAAUACAUGCAAGUUGAGCGCUGAAGGUUGGUACUUGUACCGACUGGAUGAGCAGCGAACGGGUGAGUAACGCGUGGGGAAUCUGCCUUUGAGCGGGGGACAACAUUUGGAAACGAAUGCUAAUACCGCAUAAAAACUUUAAACACAAGUUUUAAGUUUGAAAGAUGCAAUUGCAUCACUCAAAGAUGAUCCCGCGUUGUAUUAGCUAGUUGGUGAGGUAAAGGCUCACCAAGGCGAUGAUACAUAGCCGACCUGAGAGGGUGAUCGGCCACAUUGGGACUGAGACACGGCCCAAACUCCUACGGGAGGCAGCAGUAGGGAAUCUUCGGCGAUGGACGAAAGUCUGACCGAGCAACGCCGCGUGAGUGAAGAAGGUUUUCGGAUCGUAAAACCCUGUUGGUAGAGAAGAACGUUGGUGAGAGUGGAAAGCUCAUCAAGUGACGGUAACUACCCAGAAAGGGACGGCUAACUACGUG
rnacentral:rRNA from 1 species